rnacentral:lncRNA from 1 species
AUGGUUUGGCACCAUUAUACAGUAAGUAGAGAUAGAAACAGUUCGUAUCCCACAAGGUUUGAGCUGUUCACUGUUUUCAUGAAGCCAAAAAAAAUUAACAGCAUGUUGAGAUUUUGCCAAAGAGAGAAACGGGUAUCUUAUACCAGAAAAACAGGUAUCUUAUACAAGAGACACAGGUAUCUUAUACAAGAGACACAGGUAUCUUAUACAAGAGACACAGGUAUCUUAUACAAGAGACACAGGUAUCUUAUACAAGAGACACAGGUAUCUUAUACAAGAGACACAGGUAUCUUAUACAAGAGACACGGGUAUCUUAUACAAGAGACAGGUAUCUUAAAGAGACACAGGUAUCUUAUACAAGAGACACAGUUAUCGUAUACAAGAGACACGUAUCUUUACAAGAGACACCAGGUAUCUUAUCA